rnacentral:lncRNA from 1 species
AUUGAUAUUUAUAGAAAAAAAUUUAGUAUUUUUUGUAAAAAUUUUUUUGAUUUUUUUGAUUUUUUUAUUCUAGAAAAUUUGGCUACCGUUGGAUUGGAGGAAAAAUUCAAAUCGAAGAGCCCAUGAUGCGCCACGUGGCAGAGAGCUGUUGGCGGCACUGUAGCGGCGCAUUCUAAAUUUUUUUUAAUGUUGGCGCGUGCAACGCAUUAGCUCGGUAACGUCAGCAACCAAACUCGGGCUGGCACUUGGGCCAGCCAGGGUUGCUGGGUCCCACCUCGC